AAUCCAUAGGUUAAUGAGGCGAACCGGGGGAACUGAAACAUCUAAGUACCCCGAGGAAAAGAAAUCAACCGAGAUUCCCCCAGUAGCGGCGAGCGAACGGGGAGGAGCCCAGAGCCUGAAUCAGCAUGUGUGUUAGUGGAAGCGUCUGGAAAGGCGCGCGAUACAGGGUGACAGCCCCGUACACAAAAGCGCAUGUGCUGUGAGCUCGAUGAGUAGGGCGGGACACGUGGUAUCCUGUCUGAAUAUGGGGGGACCAUCCUCCAAGGCUAAAUACUCCUGACUGACCGAUAGUGAACCAGUACCGUGAGGGAAAGGCGAAAAGAACCCCGGCGAGGGGAGUGAAAAAGAACCUGAAACCGUGUACGUACAAGCAGUGGGAGCCCCACCACUAAGCCAGUGGUGAACUCCACAUACGCAUCCUUUGCUGAGGAUACGGUUAACGGAGCGAAAGCGACGUUCAACCUCAAAAGAAGCAGAGGGGGCUUAGUGGUGGGGUGACUGCGUACCUUUUGUAUAAUGGGUCAGCGACUUAUAUUCUGUAGCAAGGUUAACCGUAUAGGGGAGCCGGAGGGAAACCGAGUCUUAACCGGGCGUUAAGUUGCAGGGUAUAGACCCGAAACCCGGUGAUCUAGCCAUGGGCAGGUUGAAGGUUGGGUAACACUAACUGGAGGACCGAACCGACUAAUGUUGAAAAAUUAGCGGAUGACCUGUGGCUGGGGGUGAAAGGCCAAUCAAACCGGGAGAUAGCUGGUUCUCCCCGAAAGCUAUUUAGGUAGCGCCUCGUGAAUUCAUCUCCGGGGGUAGAGCACUGUUUCGGCUAGGGGGCCAUCCCGGCUUACCAACCCGAUGCAAACUGCGAAUACCGGAGAAUGUUAUCACGGGAGACACACGGCGGGUGCUAACGUCCGUCGUGAAGAGGGAAACAACCCAGACCGCCAGCUAAGGUCCCAAAGUCAUGGUUAAGUGGGAAACGAUGUGGGAAGGCCCAGACAGCCAGGAUGUUGGCUUAGAAGCAGCCAUCAUUUAAAGAAAGCGUAAUAGCUCACUGGUCGAGUCGGCCUGCGCGGAAGAUGUAACGGGGCUAAACCAUGCACCGAAGCUGCGGCAGCGAACGUAUCACUUAAAGCGAUUCAGCGGAUGACGAUUGACGGAGCGAAGCGACGUCAAAGCGUAUACAAAGUCGAGUCGGUUUAAGGAUACGUUCGUUGGGUAGGGGAGCGUUCUGUAAGCCUGCGAAGGUGGCCUGUGAGGG
rnacentral:rRNA from 1 species